rnacentral:lncRNA from 1 species
GACUAGUCUUGAACUCUAACCUCCUGAGUAGCUGGGACUCCAAGGGCAUGUCAUCAUCAAACAAGCAUCAUCCAUGACUCCUGGUUAUAGUUCCAGUUAUGACAGCAGACUUUAGGAAAUCACAAGAUUUUCCAAAAGUCCUUAAUUUCCAUUGAGUAAUACUUGCAGUGUUAGAGAAACUGCUUCCACCCUGGACUACAGUAGUGGAAUAUCUAGACUACGAAUAUGCAGAAUUUUCUCAUCUGAAGAUGUUGACUGGGC